rnacentral:rRNA from 1 species
AGUACUACAAAUAAUUUUGUUGACAUUGAAUUAAGAGGAACGAGCGGAAAGAAGCUAUGAUCCGUAGGUGUCCGAAUGGGGAAACCCGAUAGGUUAAAAACCUAUGACUGUUAUCUGAAUACAUAGGAUAACAGAGCGAGACCCGCUGAAGUGAGACAUCUCAGUAAGCGGAGGAAAAGAAAUCAAAAGAGAUUCCCUUAGUAGCGGCGAGCGAAAGGGGAAAAGCCCAAACCGUGGGCAUGCUCACGGGGUUGUAGGGCAAGCGAUAAGUAUUGCAUAUUCUAGCUGAAUCUUCUGGAAAGUAGAGCGACACAAGGUGAAAGCCCUGUAAGCGAAAGAAGAGUGCAAUCAAGCUUGUACCUGAGUAGGGCCGGACACGUGAAACCCGGUCUGAAGCAGGGGAGACCACUCUCCAAGGCUAAAUACUCGUUAAUGACCGAUAGUGAACCAGUACAGUGAUGGAAAGGUGAAAAGAACCCUCGAUAAGGGAGUGAAAUAGAAUCUGAAACCAGCAGCUUACAAACGGUCGAAGGCCUAUGGCCCUUUUAGGGCAAUGGCUGACGGCGUGCCUUUUGCAUGAUGAGCCAGCGAGUUAUGUUAUACGGCGAGGUUAAGGAACCGUCGUUCUGGAGCCGAAGCGAAAGCGAGUGUGAAUAGCGCGAAUAGUCGUAUGACAUAGACACGAAACCAAGUGAUCUACCUAUGACCAGGAUGAAGCAGGGGUAACACCUUGUGGAGGUCCGAACCAGUACACGUUGAAAAGUGUUUGGAUGAGUUGUGGGUAGGGGUGAAAGGCCAAUCAAACUUGGUAAUAUCUUGUUCUCUCCGAAAUAACUUUAGGGUUAGCCUUAGUAUAUAGCGUCUUUAGGGGUAGAGCACUGAAUCUCCAAGGGGUCCCACCGGACUACCAAAGGGAAUCAAACUCCGAAUACUAAAGACUCGACUAGGAGAUAGACUACGGGGGAUAAGCUUCGUGGUCAAAAGGGGAACAGCCCAGAUCGCCGAUUAAGGCCCCAAAUUCUAUGCUAAGUGAGAAAGGAAGUGAAGUUUCAAAGACAGUUGGGAUGUUGGCUUAGAGGCAGCCACCAUUUAAAGAGUGCGUAACAGCUCACCAAUCGAGAGACUUUGCGCCGAUAAUAUUCGGGGCUAAGCAUAGAGCCGAAAUCGCGGGUUUAGGAGAAAUCCUAAGCGGUAGGAGAGCGUAGUUUUUGCGUCGAAGGUAUACCGUGAGGAGUGCUGAAGCGAAAACUAGUGAGAAUGCAUGGCAUAAGUAAACGACAAAGGGAGUGAGAAUCUCCCUCGCCGAAAGCCCAAGGUUUCCAGGGUAAAGCUCGUCUUCCCUGGGUUAGCCGGACCCUAAGCCGAGGCUGAAAAGCGUAAGUGAUGGGAAGCAGGUUAAAUAUUCCUGCGCCGUCGAAGGCUAUAGUGAUGGAGUGACGAAGAGAGUGAAACAUGCGGACCGUUGGAUGUGUCCGUUCUGUUAUGAGGAAGGCUGAUAGGUAAAUCCGUUGGCGUAAUUCCCGGUAACAGAGGAGUGGAAUCGCAAGAGGAAACGAAGGUGAGGAAGGAUCUUCCAAGAAAUAACUUCUAACUGCUGAAGACGACCGUACCAAAACCGACACAGGUGGGCGGGAAGAAUAUUCUCAGGCGCGCGAGAGAACUCUUGUUAAGGAACUCGGCAAAUUAUCCCCGUAACUUCGGGAAAUGGGGAGCCAUCUGGGGUGAAAGACGAACGUCUGGAGCGCUAGGUGGCCGCAGAGAAAUGGCCCAGGCGACUGUUUAACAAAAACACAGCACUAUGCGAACUCGUUUAAGAGGAGGUAUAUGGUGUGAUGCCUGCCCAAUGCCAAAAGGUCAAAGGAAAAUGUCAGUGGCGCAAGCUGCGAAGCAUAGAACUUAAGCCCUGGUGAAUGGCGGCCGUAACUAUAACGGUCCUAAGGUAGCGAAAUUCCUUGUCGGGUAAGUUCCGACCUGCACGAAUGGCGUAACGACUUGAGCGCUGUCUCAUCCGUAAACUCGGCGAAAUUGCAGUACGAGUAAAGAUGCUCGUUACGCGCAGAAAGACGGAAAGACCCCGGGACCUUUACUAUAUCUUGAUAUUGGUGUUCGGAACGGUUUGUGUAGCAUAGGUGGGAGACUUUGAAGCGGGCACGCCAGUGUUUGUGGAGUCAUCAUUGAAAUACCACUCUGAUCGUUUUGAACUUCUAACCUCGGUCCAUAAUCUGGAUCAGGGACAGUGUCUGGUGGGUAGUUUGACUGGGGCGGUCGCCUCCUAAAAAGUAACGGAGGCGCUCAAAGGUUCCCUCAGCCUGGUUGGCAAUCAGGUGUCGAGUGUAAGUGCACAAGGGAGCUUAACUGUGAGACAGACAUGUCGAGCAGGUGCGAAAGCAGGAACUAGUGAUCCGGCGGUGGCUUGUGGAAGCGCCGUCGCUCAACGGAUAAAAGGUACCCCGGGGAUAACAGGCUGAUCUUGCCCAAGAGUCCAUAUCGACGGCAAGGU